rnacentral:rRNA from 1 species
AUGGAUUUAAGCCCCACACUCAUCUGCUGGAAUAUUUGUGGCCUCAAUAACCUGACCAAGAGGAAGACGGUCAAGGAGUUCAUCGACACAGUCAAGAUUAGCUUAGUUUCCUUGCAAGAAACUAAAUUGGAUGUAAUCGAUAAGUACAUUGUCAUGCAAUUCCUAGGGCCAUCCUUUGACGGUUUUGCUUACGUGCCUUCGGAUGAAACCCGAGGAGGUAUCCUG